GCCUGAUUAUAUUUUUGAGCAUAUGCUUGGAAAUUAGAAGGUACUCUCUGAAGCCAGUGAGGUAGCUCUGAUUUAAAAUCUCAAGGCUCUGCUAGGAAAAUCCUCCUCCUCCUCCUCCUCGCCUUCUCCUCCUCCUUGCUUCUGCAAGCAAUGCAUCUUAUAUUUGGGUACCACAACCAUGAGGAGUUAAAAACCCCAAAAUCCACCUUUGCCAUGAAAAUCCUGCAGGAUCAGCAAAAUCUGUUGGCAUUUAAGUGUGUAGAUGACAAGCACCCUCCUGGUUUGUGUCUGAGUGGGCAGGCAGCACCCCAGUAUAUUUUCUGAGCUAUUUGGAAUGUUUUGGGUCAUAACAUAAUGGGUAGGGAAUGCUUGGAGACUGUGGACUGUUCCAAACAUCCUCACCAACAGAAAUUGAGGUGUUGAACAACUGUGUCCAAUGCUGGGCAUCAGCAGCGAGGGGUCCACAGCACCUUGCAGGAGGGUCCAGCUCUCCAUGAAGCCCAUCUCACCCACUGCCAAAGCAAAUCUCUCAGUAGUUCAGAACUGAAUGGGAAAUGACAGGAAGAACCAAAGUUUGGAUGUCUCCAGCACAGGAGAUAUUCCGACCAUCACGUUGCAUUCCACUGCCAAUAACCAGCGUGCAAAUCCCAUUGAGCACUGCAUGCGGAAUAUGUGGUGAUGCACUGGGAACACACAGGUUGUCACAGUCCUGUACUUAAGAAGAGCUUGAAAUCUUCCCACUGUGAUGAAAACGCUGUUUCAUGUUAUCACCAUUCCUUAUGAAGCACUGAAAUGAAGCAACGUUUGUGGGAAGAAACAGAAGUUUUAUUAGAUCAACUGGAGUGAUUGCGGACAGCCCCACAGCCUUUGGGGACUGCAGCUUUCCGAGUGCUGCUAAUGGCAAUGCAGAUGUUUUUGCAUUGGCACAGGCUGCCCAGAGACACUGUGGAUGCCCCAUCCCUGGAGGUGCUCAGGGCCAGGCUGGAUGUGGCCCUGGGAAGCCUGAUGAAGUGGGAGUUGUCCUUGCCCAUGGCAGGGGUUGGAUCCAGAUGGGCACUGUGGUCCCUUCCAACACAAACCGCUCUGUAGUUCUCUGAUUCUAUGAUUUACCUUCCCAAGUCUUUCAUUUUUCUGUAAUUUCUGGAACUGUAAAGCCAAACCAAGCACUUGAAUCAUGGAAGCGGCUGCACAGGAGGCACUAAAUACUGACCAUGUCAGAAGUGCUCCACGUCUUCCCCAUGUCUGGGUACAUCCCGCCAGCCCCUUUGAAUUGAAUCAGAGAAGAAUGCUCCCAGCUUUCAGCUCUGGAAAGCAGUGUACUGGGGAGCAAAUGUGAAAAUAAAUGAUGGCUCUAAAAUGAAAACCAGCAGGACCUAGCCUUGGGCAAGGGAGGUUCAUGCAGCACAAUUUGCUAUGUUAACCUCAAGCUCAGCAAUAAGGCAUGUUUUGCAAAUAGGACAGGGUGAUGCCAGCUGUUAUUCCUUUUGGAAAUGAGGGCGAUGGGGAGAGGAUUUUGCCUGUUCAGAAAGAAGAAGAUCCUGACAUUUCUGCAUAAGUUGCAAUGGCUUUCCAUGGAGGUUGUGUUUCUGGGUGGUCUGACUUGCACUCCCCUUGUUGGCACUGUAUUUGGCUCUGACAGCAGUGGAAUUACAGGAAGAUGGGUCUUUUUUAAGAUAAUUUC
ensembl:lncRNA